rnacentral:lncRNA from 1 species
GUAGGGUCUUGACUGCUUUUAGUUACAGCAUAUAACUGGUCCUUUAUCUGAUUGGAUUUCUAUGAUCAGUGUCCUGGCAUUUCCUUAGUAUAUUCUUUUAUAUAGUUAACCUGAACGCUUUCAUUAUCAAACUUGUCUUAAACACGUGAUAUUAUAAUUUGCAAUGAAGAGUGCUUAUAUUUUCCCUUCCGUUUGCGUCAUUACGUCAUAUAUUAUCCAGAACAUGCAAGGAAUACAUGAUUGCACAUG